GGCCCCGCCCACCACUGCGAAGAGCGGCAGGAGCGCCCCCGACCCGCUCGGCGGUGCCGCAGCGCCACCCGGCGGCGAGGAGGUGCGCCCGGUCGCGCCGCUGUCGCCGCCGCCGCCGCCGCGCCGGUAAGGGCCGAGGCUGCGCUGGCCCCGGGCCCCAGGGCCGCAGCCACCGCCAAGACAAACUGACCGACCUCGGGCAUAAGCCGCAACGCCGAGCGGCAGGAAAGGGGCUGAGCUCGCUAUGGCACCGAAGGGCUGGAGGUCCGCGGCCACUUCUGUGCCCCUGGGCGGCUCCACAGCCAUUGCCCGGUAACGUGCGUCUCACCAUGGACCGGCCUGGGGAACACAGAAAGUGGCGACGAGUACAGAGGCUGCAGGGAAACACAACCGCGUUCCGGCGUCCCAAGGGCAGUGCCUGCAGCACCUCACAACGGCCCUCGGCCCUCAGCUCGGCUGCUGGCUACCAUCACCCCUCAGCAGGCAAACGGUUUGUAAUGCUGGCAUUCAACCUCAUUAGCGAUCAAGGAAGAAAACGUUUUGUUCACCAGACCCUA